AGGCGCUCAAGUAAUUACCAACUGUCACUUUCUAGGAGUUCUCUGCUUCUGACCACAAUAUUAUUUAUCAUGCACGGUUCGCAGGCGCAGAAGGACAUCCUCACCCGCCAGAAGGGACAGACGGUAUGGAUGGUACAAGCGGACUCCUCCAUUUUUCUAGAACAUUUUCCCCUUUCCAGAACCUGAUUUUAGAAAGAGGCUACCCACCAACAUGAAGCUUCAUAUCCGGGUCUUGCUAGUGAGAAUUAAAGCCCUAAAAUUGGGAGUUUCCUGGUGGUUCAGUGGUUAAGACUCCUCCUUCCAGUGCAGGUGUGGGAGGAGUUCAAUUCCUGGUCAGGGAGCUAAGAUCCUACAUGCCUCUCGGCCAAAAAACCAAAAAUACAAAAAAGAAAACCAGAAGCGAAUUGUAACAAACUCAAUAAAGACUUAAAAAA
ensembl:lncRNA